rnacentral:rRNA from 1 species
UACGGGGGGGGCAAGCGUUGUCCGGAUUUACUGGGCGUAAAGAGCGCGCAGGCGGUCGUACAAGUCGCGUGUGAAAGCCCCCGGCUCAACUGGGGAGGGUCACGCGAUACUGUUCGACUCGAAGGCAGGAGAGGGAAGCAGAAUUCCCGGUGUAGUGGUGAAAUGCGUAGAUAUCGGGAGGAAUACCAGUGGCGAAGGCGACUUCCUGGCCUGUUCUUGACGCUGAGGCGCGAAAGCUAGGGUAGCAAACGGG